UCUGACCUAUGGGGCGCAGCAGUGGGGGAUAUUGCACAAUGGGCGAAAGCCUGAUGCAGCGACGCCGCGUGAGGGAAGACGGUUUUCGGAUUGUAAACCUCUGUCGAGGGGGACGAAGGAAGUGACGGUACCCCUUGAGGAAGCCACGGCUAACUACGUGCCAGCAGCCGCGGUAAUACGUAGGUGGCAAGCGUUGUCCGGAAUUACUGGGUGUAAAGGGAGCGUAGGCGGGAAUGCAAGUUGAAUGUAUAAACGGUCGGCUCAACCGGCCGAAGCGUUCAAAACUGCAGUUCUUGAGUGGAGUA
rnacentral:rRNA from 1 species